UACGUAGGGUGCAAGCGUUGUCCGGAUUUAUUGGGCGUAAAGAGCUCGUAGGCGGUUAAACACGUCGGAUGUGAAAAUUCGCAGCUCAACUGCGAACCUGCAUUCGAUACGGUUUGACUAGAGUGUGGUAGGGGUAACUGGAAUUCCUGGUGUAGCGGUGAAAUGCGCAGAUAUCAGGAGGAACACCGAUGGCGAAGGCAGGUUACUGGGCCAAUACUGACGCUGAGGAGCGAAAGCGUGGGGAGCAAACAGGAUUAGAAACCCCGGUAGUCC
rnacentral:rRNA from 1 species